AUGGAUGCUCAAAAGAAAAUCACUGCGCCCCAUAUCUAUGCUGUUUCUGUUGCUGCUGUUGGAUCCAGUUUGGGUACAACAGUGGACUCAUCAAUGCUCAUGAGAAGAUCAUCCAGAGGUUCUUCAACAGAACCCUGUCAGAACGGAGAGGGAAGGUUGUCUUCCAAGAACUCCUCGCCUUUCUGUGGCCAUCUUCUUGGUAGGAGGUAUGAUCAGCUCUUUCUCAGACUGUUCGUCAACAGAUUUGGCAGGACGAACUCCAUGUUACUGGUGAACAUCUUGGCCUUUGCCGAUGGUGCUCUUAUGGCCUUCUCUUAAGAUGGCAAAAGCAGUGGAGAUGCUGAUAAUCGGUCACUUCAUUAUUGGCCUCUUCUGUGGUCUCUGCACUGGCUUUGAGCCCAUGUACAUAAGUGAGGUCUCACCCACCAGCCUCCGUGGAACCUUUGGCACCCUCAACCAGCUGGGCAUUGUCGUGGGCAUUCUGGUGGCCCGGAUCUUUGGCCUGGAGAGCAUCAUGGGGACUGAAGAACUUUGGCCACUGCUUUUGGGAUUCACGGUCCUCCCAGCUGCCCUGCAGUGUGUGGCUCUUCUUUUCUGCCUCAAGAGCCCCCGUUUCCUAUUGAUCAACAAGAUGGAGGAAGAGAAAGCGCAAGCAGUUCUCCAGAAGCUCCAUGAUACGCAAGAUGUGUCUCAAGACAUCCUGGAGAUGAAAGAAGAGAGUGCUAAAAUGUCCCAGGAAAAGAAAGCAACUGUGCCAGAGCUCAUCCGUUCUCCACAUUCCCGUCAAGCCAUUACAAUUGCCAUCAUGCUGCAGCUCUCCCAACAGCUCUCAGGCAUCAGUGCUGUAUGCUAUUAUUCUAUUGGGAUUUUUGAAAGAGUUGGUAUUACGCAGCCUGUAUAUGCCACUAUUGGAGCUGGGGUGGUAAGCAGAGUCUUCACUGUUAUCGCUGUUCCUGGUGGAGCGUGCAGGGCACAAGACUCUCCAUUUAGUUGGCUUGGGUGGCAUGGCUGCGUGUGCUGUUCUGAUGACUGUCACUUUAGCUCUGAAGGACAUUGUGGAGUGGAUCAAAUACAUCAGCAUUGCUGCCGCUUUUGGCUUUGUGGCUUUUUUUGAGAUUGGGCCUGGCCCUAUCCCGUGGUUCAUCGUGGCAGAGCUCUUCAGCCAGGGCCCAUGGCCUGCAGCCAUGGCGGUGGCUGGUUGUUCCAACUGGACCUCCGAUUUCUUGGUGGGAAUGCUCUUCCCCUGUGCAGAGAAAUUAUAUGGCUCCUAUGUCUUCCUCAUCUGCAGUGUUUUCCUGGUCAUCUUCUUUGUCUUCACAUUCUUCAAAGCACCGGAGACCAAAGGACUUUUGAAGACAUCUCCAGGGGCUCUGAAGGACAAGCAGAAGACAGCUCCACAUCACCUGAAGAGAAGAACCUCAUGGUGGAGCUGAACACCAUACAACCCGACAAAGAAAUUCUCUAA